rnacentral:misc_RNA from 1 species
AAGUCGUAACAAGGUUUCCGUAGGUGAACCUGCGGAAGGAUCAUUUCUGAACUAAGGUUUGAUUCUGAGUUUUUUUCUUUGGAAAAGAACAAAGAAUCUCUCCUUAUCAAAGAGAGUGUGUGGUAUAAAUGAAAAGGAAAUUAAAAAGUUAUCGGGUACUCAUGUAUUUGAGUACUCGUUUCUUUUCUUUCCUAAUCUUACUUUAUGAACCAAAACAAGUUACUUUUUUGUUCAAAACAAAAAUUUAAUUUUUUCUUUUCUUGGCGUUCAUUUUGAACAAAAAGGAAAACAAAAAAUUAUACAAAAAAAUGACAUACAACUGUCAACGGUGGAUCUCUUGGCUCGU